rnacentral:rRNA from 1 species
GACAGAGGGUGCAAACGUUGUUCGGAAUUACUGGGCGUAAAGCGCGCUGUAGGCGGCGUAGCAAGUCGGGCGUGAAAGCCCACGGCUCAACCGUGGAAGAGCACUCGAAACUGCUGCGCUAGAGUUCUGGAGAGGAAGGCGGAAUGCUUGGUGUAGAGGUGAAAUUCGUAGAUAUCAAGCGGAACACCGGUGGCGAAGGCGGCCUUCUGGACAGUGACUGACGCUGAAACGCGAAAGCGUGGGGAGCAAACAGG